rnacentral:rRNA from 1 species
UGGGGAAUAUUGGACAAUGGGCGAAAGCCUGAUCCAGCCAUGCCGCGUGUGUGAAGAAGGUCUUCGGAUUGUAAAGCACUUUAAGUUGGGAGGAAGGGCAGUAAGCGAAUACCUUGCUGUUUUGACGUUACCGACAGAAUAAGCACCGGCUAACUCUGUGCCAGCAGCCGCGGAAUACAGAGGGUGCAAGCGUUAAUCGGAAUUACUGGGCGUAAAGCGCGCGUAGGUGGUUCGUUAAGUUGAAUGUGAAAGCCCCGGGCUCAACCUGGGAACUGCAUCCAAAACUGGCGAGCUAGAGUAGGGCAGAGGGUGGUGGAAUUUCCUGUGUAGCGGUGAAAUGCGUAGAUAUAGGAAGGAACACCAGUGGCGAAGGCGACCACCUGGGCUCAUACUGACACUGAGGUGCGAAAGCGUGGGGAGCAAACAGG